AUCUGCACUGAAGAGUUGCGGAGUUGCCUGGCAUUCGUGAGUUCUGCGGUACAAGGACUACCUGGAGGCGGAGGGGGAGAUAGAGAACGAGAGUGCAGAGCUCUGCUCCGCUUGCCACGGCGCCUCCGGGCGCGGCCAAGCCUGAGUCCUCUCUGGCUGUCAGUCGCCAGGCUGGGGAAGUGCCCAGAGGGCGGGCCUGGCGAUGGCUGCGGCUACGAUGCUGCUCUUCAAAAGCCGCCCAAGCAAAUUCUGUGCGAAAGGCUCUUUUAUUUUUCUCCUCAGAAAUGAAAUUUUGCCGGAGUAGUUGGAGUGAUCAGCGCCAUACACCUUGCGAUUUCAGCGCCUCUGGUGAGCACUCAGUGAAAGGUCGCUUUUGGAAAAAGCCGUAUUCCCUUUUAAAAAAAUAUUAGAGACGAAUGUCGGGGUGAGAACUUAAUUCAUAUUGUUAGAUUGUACUUUAUUUAGUGAGUGCGUGUUUUAUUUUGACCAUUAGUUUCAGAUACAGAGACAAAUUUCUUAGUUACUUCGAAUGUACGUCUUUCUUGAGAGAAUAUAAACAUUGGUAGACCUCCAGCCCAUUCAUAAAAACCUAGCGGGCAAGCCUUUACUCACGGCACACAGGUGGCAAAAGGAUUUCUGUGAGUUCUUGGCUAGUCUGGUGUACAAAAUGAGUUCCAGGCCAACCAGUGCUACGUGGUGAAAUACUGUAUUUAUUAAAAAACAAACAAGCAAAAACCUAACAAACAAUAAUAGUGAGCUUUUUUCCACCUCCAAAGUUCCUAGGCCUGUGUUUGUUUCCUCAUCCCUUUAUCUCUCUGUGCUAGUGGUCCAUUCAGGGCCUUGUGCGUGAUACACAUACUUUUCUCUUCGUUCUUAGAUCUGUUCAUCACUAAACUGCUUGGAGCUCACAGAAGAAAUGUGGAAAGCUAGAUUAUUAAAAAUCAUAGAAUUAACUAUUAAGAAGAUUGAUAAAUUAGUGUUCUCUCCCCAACAAUCCCCCCCCCCCCAUUUCUCUUUUUAAAAAAAACUUAGACGUACUAGCAUAUUUGAUGGUCCAGUAUCUGUUAUGCUGCAGUCACCUCUUGCAGCAGUCCGUGUCUACUCUUUCCCCAGCAAGAUAUAUUGUAUGGUGACUUGUUUGCUAAGAUGUAAACUGAAAAUAAAGGGCAACAUGGUAGCACAUAGCAGUGAUCUCAGGAGUUGGAGCAAUAGGAACAUGAUUUCUUUUCUUUUCUUUCUUUCUUUUUUUAGAUUUAUUUAUUUUAUAUAUGUGACCACACUGUCACUGUCUUCAGACACACCAGAAGAGGGCAUCAGAUCUCAUUGUAGAUGGUUGUGAGCCACCAUGUGGUUGCUGGGAUAUGAACUCAGGACCUCUGGAAAAGCAGCCAGUGCUCUUAACCACUGAGCCAUCUCUCCAGCCCCAGAACAUGAUUUCUAUGCCAGGAUAGUUACAUAGUUUCAGGCCAGUCCAGUCUGCAUAGUUAUACCCCUAUCUCCGAAUAAACAAUAAUAGAUACAACACUUGACUGUUAAAUACUUGGUAAUGUACCACCUAGAUUAGGACAUUGUCUUACUGAAAGCAAAAUAUUAUUAGAUUCAA
rnacentral:lncRNA from 1 species